CCCAGUUCUCCAACCCCAUAAAGUUAGAAUGCAGUCUGUGAGUACUCUCUGCUCUAAUCAAGAAGGAAGGGGCUUCAGCUUCAAAUGUCAAUGCUGUAAACAUGUUAAAUCUGGAAAAUAUUUUCUAAGCAAGCAACCAUGUGUAAAAUUUACCGAACUUGUCAUGAAAGGGCUGCAGCUGCAAACCUGCAAACUUCUCACUUCCAUGAAGACUCCAGAUGCUGAGACAGGGAAGAGAGGUUUCAGCUUGGCUCCCCAGCUGUUGCACCUUAGAGCUUUGCAUGCCGCCAUCUUCUCAGCGUUUCACCAGGUCAAAAAGUCUGAACGAUCCUUUCUCAGACAUGUCUCCUGAAUCUGGAUCAUCACCAUGCCACCCGGGGUAGGCUCUGGUCCUAACCGGCCUGGACUCUGAGCAACGGUGUCCUGACUGCUCUCCUGACAACUGUCACUCCCAGGCCCGGCCACUCGCCGUCUCAGCGCCCCCUCGCGGCCCUUCUCUACCCACCUCGGGACUUCCCAGGCCUCCUGGCUGCGCCGCAGACCCUCCCCGUCCCAGAUCCCGCCAGGGCCCACUCGGGCUCCAGCCGCUGCCUGGGACAGCCAAAGGCCGGCCCGGGCGGUUCUUCCCCAGGUGGUCCGGGGCGUCCCGGGCCGCACUGGCCUGGCCCAUGGGCCCCGAAGAAGGCGCUCACCCAAGGACCACUGUCCGAGCGGCUUCCCCCGGCCCGGCCUGGUGCCGCGUCCCCACCAGCCCGGGGUGGCAGGUUCUACUCGGGAAGCCUGUUUUAUGUCUUCUUUCACGCCCAUAUCACACCGACAAGGGUGAAGCUGUGGAACUUAUACCUCGGCUGGGCCCCGCCGCCAACUCCUAGGGCACGGGAACUGCGCACAGGCCGGGGUUCCGCGAGGGGCGGAGCUUCCCGCUCUGCCCUCGGGCAGGUGAGCCGGAGCCUGGCACGUGGGCCUGGGUGUCCUGACAGCCCUGGCCCCCGCCGCCUCUGUACCAGGGAGAGCGCCUGGAAGGCGCCGCUGCCUCUCUCUCCCUACGUGCCCACCUGCCUCUAGGAACUGCUUGGAGAUUACUUGGCAAAGUGUGAUGGUGCUACACAGCCCGUAAGAAAUUUGUAAUCACCCAUCUAACAAGUACCUAGGCUGGAUCUGCAAACUGCGUGGAAAUUUCUAGCACGUGUGGGAAGAAGCAUGAUCAACAUUUCUUAGACCAUUUCAGGUCCGGAAGUGGCCCUCUUGCAGUUUAGCAGGACAUAUAUUCUCAAGAGAUUCUGAGUAGCCACAGAACUUACAGAAGUUGUCAUUAUUUACCUACUGCUCAGAAAAACAGGACACUGUCUGUGGGCCAAUUUGCUAAGAAAAAAAUUUAAAUAAUAUGUAAAUAAAUGUAAAUAAUGUAGAAGCACAAUCUGCCUUUGCUUUUUCUUAUAAAUAUAAGAAAAUAUUUUCAUUAAAAUAACCAAAAAAUAGACAAGAUUUACCCAGCACCUUUAGAAUGAAAGUAACGUGGCAGUGCUUCACUGGGAAAAAGUGAAGCUGAAUGAGAUGAAAUUUAGAAACUGAGAAAUGGUCAGGAAAAAACAAGAAUUCAAAAAGCAAAUAGAAGUAUUAUUUGACUGAAAAACCUGAGGCUAAAAUAUGAAAUCAAGCUAAUUUCUGAGGUAUCUACUUAUUCUUUGUUUCAAGACAAGUCUGACUCCAGUUUGGGGAGAGUCAAACAGAAUGGAAUUAGCUAAAUUUGCUUAUUUUUAAAACUCCCCUCAAUUUCUCCCCCAAAUUUGAGUUUCCCUUUGUACUUCUCCCAUUAUGAUGUAGAAGAUUUACUAAACAAAUAUCAAUUUGGACUAAAAUGAUAUUAGGUUUUGAUGAUCUACCUAUUUUUAGCCUAAGGACUAAGUGGUUUUCUGAAUUCACAUUUUCAUCGUUUUAAUGAAAAUGAGGCAAUAUGCUGAAAUGGUAUUUUCUUAGAUUGUAUUAAGGUUUAUAUACCUAGAUUUUUCACAUACACUGUGUCAUAUACUUUUCCUCUAAAUCCAAUAUAUUAUGAACACACAGGUAACGUUUUUACUGCUAACAGCAUGCUGUAGGUUUAAAAAAAUUAUUGUUUCUUGACCUUUUACAAGUUAUUCUAACACUAACAGCAGCAUAGCUAUAACAGGACAGAACUUGACUAAAUAUAUUAAUAUAGAGUUUUAUUAUCCUUGAUAAUUUUUCUCACUGCAGUGUCUAGUUAAUACUUAAAGGGUUUUUGUAUGUUUGCACCCAUUCUUAGAGAGGACAAGAGUUUGAAUUUGCAUAUUCUCACCGUAUGUUUCUAUUACAAUAUCAAAGAUUGAAGGCUGCCUUAAUAAAACAUUUCAAAAACAAUGAGAGUCCAUUGCUGUGCAAUAGUCA
rnacentral:lncRNA from 1 species